CGUCGAGUGGCGGACGGGUGAGUAAUGCUUGGGAAUCUGCCCAAUAGCGGGGGAUAACUCGAGGAAACUCGAGCUAAUACCGCAUACGCCCUACGGGGGAAAGCGGGGGAUCUUCGGACCUCGCACUAUUGGAUGAGCCCAAGUCGGAUUAGCUUGUUGGUAGGGUAACGGCCUACCAAGGCGACGAUCCGUAGCUGGUCUGAGAGGACGAUCAGCCACACCGGAACUGAGACACGGUCCCGG
rnacentral:rRNA from 1 species